rnacentral:rRNA from 1 species
GAUGAACGCUGGCGGCGUGCCUAAUACAUGCAAGUCGAGCGAACAGAUGAGGAGCUUGCUCCUCUGACGUUAGCGGCGGACGGGUGAGUAACACGUGGAUAACCUACCUAUAAGACUGGGAUAACUUCGGGAAACCGGAGCUAAUACCGGAUAAUAUAUUGAACCGCAUGGUUCAAUAGUGAAUGACGGUUUUGCUGUCACUUAUAGAUGGAUCCGCGCCGCAUUAGCUAGUUGGUAAGGUAACGGCUUACCAAGGCAACGAUGCGUAGCCGACCUGAGAGGGUGAUCGGCCACACUGGAACUGAGACACGGUCCAGACUCCUACGGGAGGCAGCAGUAGGGAAUCUUCCGCAAUGGGCGAAAGCUUGACGGAGCAACGCCGCGUGAGUGAUGAAGGUCUUCGGAUCGUAAAACUCUGUUAUUAGGGAAGAACAAAUGUGUAAGUAACUAUGCACGUCUUGACGGUACCUAAUCAGAAAGCCACGGCUAACUACGUG